AUCUCUCCCUUCCAAAUCAGAGAA
rnacentral:siRNA from 1 species